CUCCACCCAUUCCUCCAAAGCCACAUAUUCCUCCUCCUCCUCCUCCACCCAUUCCACCCCCAAAACUGCCAAGACCCCCGUAGCUCCCGCCAAAGCUGCCCAUCCUGCUGCCAUACCCACCACCAUAGCACCCACCCAUGGACAUCCUGGCACUGCCCCCCCAUGUUGUGGAGGCUCCGGCUGCCAAAGCCCCCGCACCGUCCUCCACCUCCGAAUCCCCUGGACACAGAGUACGAGCUGUAGCUGCUCCUGCUCCUGCUGCCACCUCCAAAGCCACCACCGAUUGCAGAGCAGGAGCAGCUACAGCUCGUACUCUGUGUCCAGGGGAUUCGGAGGUGGAGGACGGUGCGGGGGCUUUGGCAGCCGGAGCCUCCACAACAUGGGGGGGCAGUGCCAGGAUGUCCAUGGGUGGGUGCUAUGGUGGUGGGUAUGGCAGCAGGAUGGGCAGCUUUGGCGGGAGCUACGGGGGUCUUGGCAGUUUUGGGGGUGGAAUGGGUGGAGGAGGAGGAGGAGGAAUAUGUGGCUUUGGAGGAAUGGGUGGAG
rnacentral:lncRNA from 1 species